rnacentral:rRNA from 1 species
UACAGAGGUGGCAAGCGUUGUUCGGAAUUACUGGGCGUAAAGGGCGCGUAGGUGGCCUUCUUAGUCAGACGUGAAAUCCCCAGGCUUAACCUGGGAACUGCGUCUGAUACUGGAAGGCUUGAGUUCGGGAGAGGAAUGUGGAAUUCCAGGUGUAGCGGUGAAAUGCGUAGAUAUCUGGAGGAACACCGGUGGCGAAGGCGGCAUUCUGGACCGAAACUGACGCUGAGGCGCGAAAAGCCAGGGGAGCAAACGGG